rnacentral:rRNA from 1 species
GCCUAUGAUAAUCAGACCACCCUGAACGCGCCCGAUCUCGUCUGAUCUCGGAAGCUAAGCAGGGUCAGGCCUGGUUAGUACUUGAAUGGGAGACCGCCUGGCAAUGCCGGGUGCUAUAGGCU